rnacentral:rRNA from 1 species
GAAGGUCACGGCGAGACGAGCCGUUUAUCAUUACGAUAGGUGUCAAGUGGAAGUGCAGUGAUGUAUGCAGCUGAGGCAUCCUAACAGACCGGUAGACUUGAACCUUGUUCCUACAUGACCCGAUCAAUUCGAUCAGGCACUCGCCAUCUAUUUUCAUUGUUCAACUCUUUGACAACACGAAAAACCAUUGUUCAACUCUUUGACAACAUGACAAACCAAAAGCUCUGCCCUCCCCUCUAUCUAUCCAAGGGAUGGAAGGGCAG